CUUUUCCCGCACAGGUUAGACUUUUCCCGCACAGGUUAGACUUUUCCAGAACUGUUGUUUCUCUGUACACCCGAAACGUAUUCCUGAUUUGCAACAUUCUGUCCUCUAUAUCUACCAAAGACAUCCAUCCUUCGUCUCUUUCAUCUCCUUUAUAGCUUGUGUACACAGCCUUUGAGUUCUCGAGGCAGCUCGCAAUGACGAGAAAAACAGUGGGCAGUCUCGCAGAAGAGAACAGAGUUGAAACUGGAAAUUGCCGCCGAAUUAGAGUUUAUGGGAAAACAGAAACGAGAGAAUGGUUGGAAAAAACAGUCUAGCUACCAAUAUCUCCACCUAUCUUUGAAACUCAAUAAAAUGUUAUAAAUGAAAUUUUCAUUGUUCGCGUCUAUCGAUUAAAGUUUAUAA